rnacentral:rRNA from 1 species
AGCGAGCGCUGGCGGCAGGCCUAACACAUGCAAGUCGAACGAACCUUUCGGGGUUAGUGGCGGACGGGUGAGUAACACGUGGGAACGUGCCUUUAGGUUCGGAAUAACUCAGGGAAACUUGUGCUAAUACCGAAUGUGCCCUUCGGGGGAAAGAUUAAUCGCCUUUAGAGCGGCCCGCGUCUGAUUAGCUAGUUGGUUGAGGUAAUGGCUCACCAAGGCGACGAUCAGUAGCUGGUCUGAGAGGAUGAUCAGCCACAUUGGGACUGAGACACGGCCCAAACUCCUACGGGAGGCAGCAGUGGGGAAUCUUGCGCAAUGGGCGAAAGCCUGACGCAGCCAUGCCGCGUGAAUGAUGAAGGUCUUAGGAUUGUAAAAUUCUUUCACCGGGGACGAUAAUGACGGUACCCGGAGAAGAAGCCCCGGCUAACUUCGUG